UGGUGAUUAUCUUUAAUUGUUUGACACUCUUCUAAUAUGCAUUUCAUGGCUUCUGAGUUAGCCAUUCUAUCAUCAUAAAAUUUCGUUUCAUUAGCUUUCCAUCACUUCACAUUAUUUUCUUUGUUAAAUAAAGUUGACCUUUGUUUCAUAAUGAUGUCAGUACAUGUUGGAAACAACUGAAUCGAUGAUGUCUUUAGCUGCUUCUGCUUUGGCACAAUUACCUGUUUGAAUCGAUCCUAAUUCAUCAGUUGAGAAUCCCUGAAUAUUCUGAGAGUGCUGCGUUCACCGACUAAAUUAUUCACUCUUUUUUGUACUCGUUAACAGUUCGUUGGAUUUUCCUUCGAGUAAGACGCAGCUCAAAC